rnacentral:rRNA from 1 species
UGGGGAAUUUUGGACAAUGGGCGAAAGCCUGAUCCAGCAAUGCCGCGUGUGUGAAGAAGGCCUUCGGGUUGUAAAGCACUUUUGUCCGGAAAGAAAUCCUUGGCUCUAAUACAGUCGGGGGAUGACGGUACCGGAAGAAUAAGCACCGGCUAACUACGUGCCAGCAGCCGCGGUAAUACGUAGGGUGCAAGCGUUAAUCGGAAUUACUGGGCGUAAAGCGUACGCAGGCGGUUUGCUAAGACCGAUGUGAAAUCCCCGGGCUCAACCUGGGAACUGCAUUGGUGACUGGCAGGCUAGAGUAUGGCAGAGGGGGGUAGAAUUCCACGUGUAGCAGUGAAAUGCGUAGAGAUGUGGAGGAAUACCGAUGGCGAAGGCAGCCCCCUGGGCCAAUACUGACGCUCAUGCACGAAAGCGUGGGGAGCAAACAGGAUUAGAUACCCUGGUAGUCCACGCCCUAAAACGAUGUCAACUAGUUGUUGGGGAUUCAUUUCCUUAGUAACGUAGCUAACGCGUGAAGUUGACCGCCUGGGGAGUACGGUCGCAAGAUUAAAACUUAAAUGAAUUGACGGGGUCAUAGCUGUUUCCU